ensembl:lncRNA
GUGUAAAUGUACAUUUUCAACUAACUUCUUCCACUCAUUUUAUAGUAAGAAAUUAGUAUAGUAGUAAAAACAUAUUUACUUAGUUAUCACCAAAGCACUCUCUAUUUUGUUGUAUAUCUUUUGUAAGGUAGCUUUGUGCAUAAAUGCAGCCAUUAAUUAUAAAUAUAUAUGUAAAUAAUUCAGGUAACACUUUAGUUUGGGGAUCAGUUCUCACUAUUAACAUGUUGCUUAUUAGCAUGCAUGUUACUAACAUAUUGGCUGUUAAUUAGUACUAAUAAAACACUGUGGCAUUACACAUAUUUGUACUGCCCCUUUGUUCAUUUGACUCCUCCUUCCAACUAAAACAUCUUAGGAUUGGAGGACAGUACUAAUUACGAGGAGUGUGUAUAUAGGGGGCACGUUCAAAGACUAAAAAGGGGAGUUUUCUUACUGACCAAUUGCUCCGUGGAGGCAGUCUUUGACGGGUGAAUGCUGGAUCUCGGAGGGUGUUUCCGGAAGCUCGCGAAGAGGGGUUGGUGCUACGCUACCUGGUGGGUCUGUUGCUAACAGGCAAUUCGCAUGGCUGGCGAAUUCUCACAGUUUUAAAAACAAUCUGGAAUUUUGCACCUCCCGAAAUCUUUGAUUUGGAGCUGGAGUGGAGAAGGAGCUAAAAUGGGCUGCCGCCGCCGAGGUCACUCACUCCCGUGCUGUUUAUUUGGUCAGUUGCUCUCACUAACCACAGAACCACACACACACCCAUACACACACCUAUUUCAUUUUCAAAUCGUUAAAAAGUGUUUUUUCUUUCUUUUCUUGUUUGUUCGAUUUAGUUUCUAUUUGUUAUUGAAAAGUGCGUUGCUUAAUUAUUUGAAAAGUGUCCAUAUUAAUGAUGUCAUCAAAUUAAAGUAAAUCUAAAUUGCAUAUAAUUUCUGUUAUCUUUCUUUUGUAUACGGAUGGUUUUGUCAGUCUGGGGUGCUAUCCGGAAUGAACUAAAUUAAAGUGUGACAGGCAUAUAGUAUAUACCUGUCUGGCGCCCGAACAAUAACUGAUUAUUUUCUUUGUGUGUUUUUUUUUUCUUUCUUCGAGGCUUUCGGCCUGAGAAUCAGGUCAAUGUGAGUGCUGCUGACGUCACAGUUUACGUGUGGCCUAGCGGUUACGACAUUGCGUCGCCACCUGGGGGACCCGAGUUCGGUUCCCACUAAAAAUAUUUUUUUUGUUUGUUUUAUUUUAUGGUUAUAUUGUGGGGGACAAAUCAACCACCGUUACAACACAUAUUAAUGCAUGUAAUAAUAACACAUAAUAAUUCUGGAUGACUAUAUUUUAGAUCCCUUAACCCUACCCUACACCUGAAACAAAUACAGUUGAAAAAAAAAAGGCUGCAGAAUCUGCAAAAUGUUGAUUAUUUUACCAAAACAAGAGGGAUCAUACAAAAAUGCAUGUUAUUUAUUUAUUUAAUUGUUUAUAUCUUAUUCAGGUUAGUAAAAAAUAAAAAAUAAAUAAAAAAUACUUCCA